rnacentral:rRNA from 1 species
UGGGGAAUAUUGCACAAUGGGCGCAAGCCUGAUGCAGCCAUGCCGCGUGUAUGAAGAAGGCCUUCGGGUUGUAAAGUACUUUCAGCGGGGAGGAAGGCGAUAAGGUUAAUAUCCUUGUCGAUUGACGUUACCCGCAGAAGAAGCACCGGCUAACUCCGUGCCAGCAGCCGCGGUAAUACGGAGGGGGCAAGCGUUAAUCGGAAUUACUGGGCGUAAAGCGCACGCAGGCGGUCUGUCAAGUCGGAUGUGAAAUCCCCGGGCUCAACCUGGGAACUGCAUUCGAAACUGGCAGGCUAGAGUCUUGUAGAGGGGGGUAGAAUUCCAGGUGUAGCGGUGAAAUGCGUAGAGAUCUGGAGGAAUACCGGUGGCGAAGGCGGCCCCCUGGACAAAGACUGACGCUCAGGUGCGAAAGCGUGGGGAGCAAACA